UUACCUACGGGACGCAGCAGUGAGGCCUCUUGGUCAAUGGACUCAAGUCUGAACCAGCCAUGCCGCGUGCAGGAUGACGGCUCUAUGAGUUGUAAACUGCUUUUGUACGAGGGUAAACCCCGAUACGUGUAUCGGGUUGAAAGUAUCGUACGAAUAAGGAUCGGCUAACUCCGUGCCAGCAGCCGCGGUAAUACGGAGGAUCCGAGCGUUAUCCGGAUUUAUUGGGUUUAAAGGGUGCGUAGGCGGUUUGAUAAGUUAGAGGUGAAAUGUCGGGGCUCAACCCCGAAACUGCCUCUAAUACUGUG
rnacentral:rRNA from 1 species